UACGUAGGUGGCAAGCGUUAUCCGGAAUUACUGGGCGUAAAGGGUGCGUAGGUGGUUUCUUAAGUCAGAGGUGAAAGGCUACGGCUCAACCGUAGUAAGCCUUUGAAACUGGGAAACUUGAGUGCAGGAGAGGAGAGUGGAAUUCCAAGUGUAGCGGUGAAAUGCGUAGAUAUUAGGAGGAACACCAGUUGCGAAGGCGGCUCUCUGGACUGUAACUGACACUGAGGCACGAAAGCGUGGGGAGCAAACAGG
rnacentral:rRNA from 1 species